rnacentral:rRNA from 1 species
GCAUAUCAAUAAGCGGAGGAAAAGAAACUAACAAGGAUUCCCCUAGUAACGGCGAGUGAAGCGGGAAGAGCUCAAAUUUAAAAUCUGGCAGUGUAUUCUGUCCGAGUUGUAGUCUAGAGAAGCAUCAUCCGUGCUGGACCAUGUACAAGUCUCUUGGAACAGAGCGUCAUAGAGGGUGAGAAUCCCGUCCUUGACAUGGACUCCCAGUACUUUGUGUUGUGCUCUCAACGAGUCGAGUUGUUUGGGAAUGCAGCUCAAAAUGGGUGGUAAAUUCCAUCUAAAGCUAAAUAUUGGCGAGAGACCGAUAGCGAACAAGUACCAUGAGGGAAAGAUGAAAAGCACUUUGGAGGGAGAGUUAAACAGUACGUGAAAUUGUUGAAAUGGAAACGCUUGAAGUCAGUCGCGUUCUCUGGGAUUCAGCCUUGCUUCUGCUUGGUGCAUUUCCUAGUCUACGGGCCAGCAUGAAUUUUGACCAGUGGAAAAGGAUUUGGGGAAUGUGGCACCUUCGGGUGUGUUAUAGCCCUUUGUCACAUACGCUGGUUGGGAUUGAGGUCUUAGUGCACGCUUCGGUUGUGCUUUGAUGCUGGCGUAAUGGCUUUAAACGACCCGUCUUGAAACACGG